CAGCAGCCGUGGUAAUACAGAGGGUGCGAGCGUUAAUCGGAUUUACUGGGCGUAAAGCGUGCGUAGGCGGCUUUUUAAGUCGGAUGUGAAAUCCCUGAGCUUAACUUAGGAAUUGCAUUCGAUACUGGGAAGCUAGAGUAUGGGAGAGGAUGGUAGAAUUCCAGGUGUAGCGGUGAAAUGCGUAGAGAUCUGGAGGAAUACCGAUGGCGAAGGCAGCCAUCUGGCCUAAUACUGACGCUGAGGUACGAAAGCAUGGGGAGCAAACAGGAUUAGAUACCCCCGUAGUCCCUGUCUUUAUACA
rnacentral:rRNA from 1 species